rnacentral:misc_RNA from 1 species
GUGAGUCAUCGAAUCUUUGAACGCAUAUUGCGCUCUUUGGUAUUCCGAAGAGCAUGCUUGUUUGAGUAUCAGUAAACACCUCAAAGCUUUUGGAUUUUUUUUGAAAGCUUUGGACUUGAGCAAUCCCAACACCAAUCUUUUUCAGAUCGGCGGCGGGUUGCUUGAAAUGCAGGUGCAGCUGGACUUUCUCCUGAGCUAAAAGCAUAUUCAUUUAGUCCCGUCAAACGGAUUAUUACUUUUGCUGCAGCUAACAUAAAGGGAGUUUGACCGUAUUGGCUGACUGAUGCAGGAUUUCACAAGGGUCGGCAACGAUUCUUGUAAAACUCGAUCUCAAAUCAAGUAAGACUACCCGCUGAACUUAAGCAUAUCAAUAAGCGGAGGA